UGGGGAAUAUUGCACAAUUGGCGAAAGCCUGAUGCAGCAACGCCGCGUGAGUGAUGAAGGUCUUCGGAUUGUAAAGCUCUGUCUUUUGGGACGAUAAUGACGGUACCAAAGGAGGAAGCCACGGCUAACUACGUGCCAGCAGCCGCGGCAAUACGUAGGUGGCGAGCGUUGUCCGGAUUUACUGGGCGUAAAGGGUGCGUAGGCGGAUGUUUAAGUGAGAUGUGAAAUACCCGGGCUUAACUUGGGUGCUGCAUUUCAAACUGGAUAUCUAGAGUGCAGGAGAGGAGAAUGGAAUUCCUAGUGUAGCGGUGAAAUGCGUAGAGAUUAGGAAGAACACCAGUGGCGAAGGCGAUUCUCUGGACUGUAACUGACGCUGAGGCACGAAAGCGUGGGUAGCAAACAGGAUUAGAUACCCUGGUAGUCCACGCCGUAAACGAUGAGUACUAGGUGUAGGAGGUAUCGACCCCUUCUGUGCCGCAGUAAACACAUUAAGUACUCCGCCUGGGAAGUACGAUCGCAAGAUUAAAAC
rnacentral:rRNA from 1 species